rnacentral:lncRNA from 10 species
AAAACUACCAGUAAAAGCUAAAACAAAUGUUUCACUUUAUUCAUAACCAUUUUUUUUUUGACAAGUUGAUUAAACAGGGCCAGGAUGAGGGUGAGGAAAACUUUGAGCUUGAGGCACAAAAUUUAAGGGAGUACUCAUUCUCAGCUGCUAACAAGAAGACAAGGAGUAUUCAUGCAGUAGAUAUCCAGGGUUUUUGCCUCAGGUAUAGGCAAUCAGUAUUUCAGUGAAGGAGCCGGACACUCCACAGGUGAGCUUAGAGGACACAGCACAAUGAUGUAUUUUAGUGCUAUUUGCACAGAUGGUGGAGGUGGCUUCCAUGCUGAUUUUUUAAAUGGCGCAGUUAGCUGACAUGAGCACCUAGGAAUGUAUAGAAAAGUCAUUCCUUGCACAACUUUGAAGUGUGUUUUUUUGGUGAUUUUACAUUCUUCAAAGCUGCUGAUACAAAAUAUAAGCAUUUUCAUAGUAUGCAUGUAUAUAGAUACCUCAAAAAUUUAAUUUUACAACAGGACGAUUUGGAUAUUUUAAUAUUAUAUAUUUUAAACAGUAUUUCCCCCAUAUUCCACUACGAAGAGCCAUUCUAUUACAUAAACAUACAUGGCUUGCUCUUUUCACUUUAGAGUCUACAUUUUGUGAGCUCAUGACCAUAUAAUUAUUUAUACUUUCUCCAAGGUAUCACCUGAUAAUUCAGAUAAUCGAAGGUUAAUAAUUAAUGACCCUUCCUCUUCAUUUGCUUCUAGACCAAUUAAAAAAAAAAAAAACUAAAAAAGAGCCUUAUGGAAAAAUACACAGCAAAAUGGUUUGAAGACUAACAUUCCAGCUCCAAACUAAAGGGAGCUUUCAUAAUACUUUCCCCAUCCCAAAUCUAAGAGAGGUGAAAAAGAGAACAUGCUUCAUCUGCUGGCCAUUAAUUGAAAGCAAGCAGGGAAAGAGAGAGAAAGUGAGAAACCUGGGGCACACUGGACCAGCCAUACUAGGGAAGCAUUUUUAAAUGUAUUAUCUCUUUUUAUCCUAGCAAGAACCCUACAAUUCAGGAAAUCUAUAUUCCCAUUGUACAGAUUCAGAACUUGAGGCUUAGAGAGAUAUAGUAACUUGGUUCAUGUCACAAGGUAAGUGUAGAGCAGAGCUUGGACUCAAACGUGUGCUUUGAAAUACUACAUGGCCUUUUAUCACAUACACUCAUAUGGCUCAGUUGGAAUAUUAUUUUUUCUGUGACACUUCCUUUAUUCCUCUGAUCAUAUAUAAAUAUUGUUCUACUCUCAGCAUCUCCAUAUUUACUUAGUAGU